AUUGAACGCUGGCGGCAGGCCUAACACAUGCAAGUCGAGCGAGCGGCGGACGGGUGAGUAAUGUCUGGGAAACUGCCUGAUGGCGGGGGAUAACUACUGGAAACGGUAGCUAAUACCGCAUACCAUCAGAUGUACCCAUAUGGGAUUAGCUAGUGGGUGAGGUAACGGCUUACCAAGGCGACGAUCCCUAGCUGGUCUGAGAGGAUGAUCAGCAACACUGGAACUGAGACACGGCCCAGACUCCUACGGGAGGCAGCAGUGGGGAAUAUUGCACAAUGGGCGCAAGCCUGAUGCAGCCAGGCCGCGUGUAUGAAGAAGGCCUUCGGGUUGUAAAGUACUUUCAGCGGGGAGGCGUUACCGGCAGAAGAAGCACCGGCUAACUCCGUGCCAGCAGCCGCGGUAAUAC
rnacentral:rRNA from 1 species